UACGAAGGGGGCUAGCGUUGCUCGGAAUUACUGGGCGUAAAGGGCGCGUAGGCGGCUCAUACAGUCAGGCGUGAAAUUCCUGGGCUCAACCUGGGGGCUGCGCUUGAGACGUGUGGGCUUGAGGACAGGAGAGGCUCGUGGAAUUCCCAGUGUAGAGGUGAAAUUCGUAGAUAUUGGGAAGAACACCGGUGGCGAAGGCGGCGAGCUGGCCUGUAACUGACGCUGAGGCGCGACAGCGUGGGGAGCGAACAGG
rnacentral:rRNA from 1 species